AAUGCCCAAGAACUGCUCUCUCAGUUGCUUUCACUCCCACUGUAAAGAUUAUCGCCUCUAAAGCAAGGCAACUGACUCCCAUCCUGAACCCCUCACUGCACCUGUGACAUGGAAAGCUCUUUACAGAUGUCACGUUAAUUAAUCUGCAACUUUACCUGGCCGCACAACCGGUACCUGCAGCCCUCCUGCCAAAGCGAGGCUCCUUCCUGGCCCCAGCGUUCCCAGAGUCUACUUUCUGUCUUCCUUCAGGAUGGUCCCUUUGCAAAGAAUGUAUGCUGGUUUACCCAUUUAACCUGCUCUUCAAGUCCCAGGAAGGGAUUUAACUAGGACACCAUGAAAACUUUGCAAGAAUCUGCCAUCCAGAAAGGUGUUUGGUCAACAAACAUGUAUUGGGGACCUCCUCUGUGUCCACAUGUGCCAGGCGCUGUCGUAGACCCCGGACAUUCCACCGUGAACAAAACAGACAAAAUCUGGUUCUCAGGAUGCUACGAUGCUCUAUAGCCUUCUCUCAAGGACUGUUUUGUUGACUGGCCUGUCUCUUCACAUGAAGAGAGUUUUACAUUAGGGAAAGUGCUUGUGUAUAGGCGUCAGGAAGAAAGAAAGCCUUCCAGAGAGAACUCAGUUUGAGGACUGACUCGGUGGGGAGGCAGAGUGGAGCAUCAGUUUGAAUCCUGGCUGGGGCAGCUUCCUGGUGGCGACUUUGGGCAACUUUGAUCCGUAAAAUGUAAAAUAACCCCCAUGGCAGGAUUGUUGUGAAGAUGAACAGAGCUCACGUAGGUCAAGCCCCUGGCCUGAGUGCAGGUGGCUGCCUUGGCCAUGGAGGUCUGAGGCUUCCAGAAUAUACCCCACACAGCAGUGAGAGAGCCUCCCCAGCGCCACCCCCACCCCCCACCGGUUCUGGGUGUUCUCAGCCCCAGCUGUGCUGUCUCCUUCUCACUCCUGCCGCAGCGCCCAGACCUGCUGCGGCCUCCCCUGAUCCUCAGCAAUGCAGACACGUCUGGGAACUCGGGCGCUAAGGCAGCUCGGCAUUUCUGGCCAACUGCUGAGCUGAGGCGGGUUCGUCAUUGAGGCCUGGGCCAAGGAAGGAAGUCUGGUUGGCGGCCCCAGGGCUGCUCACCCCAGAGUUCUGGAAAGAAGGUUGUUAAGGAUUUUGUAAAAAUAUGCUGCUUGCAUGUGUGUUUGAUGGCCUUGGCUGUGGGUUGGGGUGGAGUAAUGUUGACCUUGGAAGGUUAGGAUGCUUUUGUUCCUGAAGGAAUCAUGUAGGGUAGGUCACCAGGCUUGUGUGGUGGAGAGAAAACUACAUUUUUUCUGAGAUUGUGUGUUUUUGAACCAGCCAAACCCAAAUGGCAGGGUGGACCUGGGCCCCUGAGUUAGUACCAGCUGGGUGUGAGUGUCUCAUGGGUGAGGGAGGGGUCUGGGAAGAGAAGGUUGGCGGGGGUCCAGCUGGAGGUCCAAGGUCCGCCUUUCCGCAGAGCCAGGAUAAGGAUCUGCCAGAGAGAUGGAGCCCACCUUUCCUCCUGUCCCCUCCACAGCUUCCUCUCCCACCAAGGCUUGGCAGGGAGUAUGGGGGGCAAUAUAGUGGGGUAAUUUUGUGCCCACCUUGACCUCCACUCAGAGUUGACUGGGGACUCCUUCCUGGGCUCAGGUGACUUGUUUCUCCUUACCUUAUUCAUCCCCUUACUCAGGAGGAGGGGAGCAGAUGUAACAUUACUUGUGUGAAAGCAUGUGAACACAUUUGCUCUGGGGCCAGUGGUCAGCAGACGCUGGUCAUGCAUAGGACGCUCAUGUUAGCUCCAGUGAGCUCAGAGAGAGGGUGCAGAAGUCACCUGGGUCCAGCUUGGGAGAAACAUCCUCAGUGGUAUUGGGAGCUUCUGUCCAGGUUAACAUGGUUCUCGUUAUCUGAGGUUCAGAUCCUUCUCUACGUUUCUAUCUGCACCUGUCUUUUCCUUUUGAUCCUGUGGUAUUCAGCUGGACUUUCCUGACCCUUCAAGAUGGCAGCCUUCAUCUCUGGUGAGGCUAUGCUUCACUCAGCAGCUUCCCACACUUCCUCCAGCUUGCCUUGCUCCUCCAGUGUCUCCCAUCACCGUCAGCACAUUCUUUGUCCUUGCCUUCCAUACCAGUCUUCAUCUGGGACCUCUUCCACCCCUCCCAGGCCAGCUGUGUAUAAGCUGAAAAGCAUACAAACACGUAUACCUCAGGGUGGAUGCAGAUAAGAGAAGAAACUGUCAACAGAGGUACUGCAGAAAGCACAAAUAACAAGGAAAGAUAAGUCUCUGUCAUCUUCCUGCGCUUCAGAUGUGGGUGUCCAGAGGCCUGCAGCCGUUUCCUCAUUAUGUCCCCUGAUGCCACGAACUGCAUGUGUCUGAAUUUGAACUCAUCAUCCUCUUGCUCUCUCUCCUCCUGUUCUACAUGACUCCACCGCUGACUCAGAAGGCCAGAGACCAAUGAGUCAUCCUAGACUCCUUCCUUUCCCUCACCUCUACCCCUCCCCGCUCCAUGUCCAGUCAUCACCGAGUUCUGCCAACUUUCAGUCCUAAAUGUCUUAUAAAUCUCUCUCUUCAACCCAGUCUCCUGCCAUUGGACAACUCACAACUCUAUGGCAGGCCAAGAUUGUUUUCAAUUCCCUGUGGCUGUGCAGGUGCUGUUCACUGUGCCUACAAGCCCCUGCCUCAACCCCCACUUUUUGCCUGGCUUCGUCCUACUCUCUCACCAAGCCUCGGCUCAGACCUCACCUCCUCAGGGGAGCCCACCUGGACUAAAGGUGCAUGUUCCCCCUCCCUCCCCAGGAGCAUCUAGCGGUACUCUCUUCCAGGCUCCUACUCCUCUAGAAUGCCCAUUUCCCACCCAGUGUGGGAAUGGUCAGUUUAGAUACCUGCCUCCUCCUGGACUGGCCACUCCUCCAGGACAGAGCCCAGACGUGGCUGAAGUUGUCCUUGCCUAAUUUGAGGGAGGCAGGGAAAUGUACAGGACAAAGCAGUGGAUGGAGAGCAGGGACACCAGGUUCUGCCUGGACCCUGGAGCCACCCAGCAGGUGCUCGUCCAUUUUGGGAGACCAGAUGGACCUGGGAGCAGCUGCAGAGCCCCUUCCUGCUCUGAUGUUCUGUGACUCUGCCCGUGGGUGUCUGCUGCCUCCAGGUGACUCUCCCAAAUGCUCUUCCUCAUCAGAGGAGCCUUCUGCACCACCCACUCCCGGGUCGGGGGCAGGUGAGAGGGAAGACCUACUUCAUUAGCUUCCUGAGCUGUUCCUUUCUUAGCUGCCAGCCUGGAGGCCCUUCCUGGGUCCCCCCAGAUACAAACCUUCCAGCAUGUCCUAAGACAAGAAGGCAGAGGACUUGACAGUGUUGCUGCUAGAGCCAUGAAGUCUCCGGAACCUCAGCAACGUGGACCCUGGGCCUUGGUCUGGAGGAUGGGGCCUGGGCCAGUUCCCUUGCAGUGUCUUCACCUGGACUGUCUCUGGAGGUGUUAAGGCAAGAAGCCCAGCCACCCAGCAUUUUUUUCUUCACUCAAAAACUUCCUUGUCCAAAAGUUCUAUUUUCUCAUAACAGUAUUUCUUGCUAUUACAAAAGACAUAUGAAAAGAAAAAGAACCCCAACUUUACUCCCAAAUCCAAGUAGCCUGCCAAACUGUUCAAGCACCGCUGGUCCAGGAACUGUAUUUUACUAAUUCUUUCUAGAGUUUUCUGCUUUAAAAACACCUGGGUAGUAGCUGGGAGGUUCUGUUGAUGUUUAAAAACCCCCAAAGCUGGAUUUGCAGAAAGCAGAAACUCUUCUGGUUCUUGAGUACAGGGAUGAUCCCAUGAAACACGAAAAGAUCCAUUUCUGUCUUCUUCAACCUCGUUCUUCACCUCCGACUCCCACCGUGAAAGACCCGCCUGCUGGUGAGCUUGGAUCCCGGACAGCCAUGUUAGCGGGGCACAGGCUCGGGCUGUCACACGAGGUGCUGGAUGCUGCCUUGCUGGGACACAGGCCAUCCCUCCCAGAGCACCUGAGGCCUGCGAGGGGUUCUGGGAUCACUACCCUGUUUGGGAGCUAAGACAAAAUCACUUUAAAAGCUAUUUUUGAAAGGUUUAGGAGAAAAUGGAAAAUUUUGUGCUGUGUGUAUUUUACCAAAAACUUUGACAAAGUCUUUUGAACCAAAUAGAAGUUUUCACGUAUGUUAUCUCACUUAAUUCUCUUAACUUCCAAUGGGAAAAAAGACUCCCCAUUUUACAGAUCAUUAAACCAAGGUGCACAGAGGUUAAGAGGCUUGCCAAAGGGCGGGAGAGUGUUAAUGAACUAAGUGGGUUUUAAACUGUGGUCAGCUUCACUCCCAAGCUUGGCCCUCUUCCCACCUUCUCAUAGUUUGCCGACCCAGAGUUCACACACAGACACACAGACUCACACACACACUCAGUGCCUGCCUUGUCCCUUUGUUUUAUUUUUAUUAGGUGUUCCUUAUUGGAGGAAAUCAGCUUCUCUUCACCAAAGAGAUUUGUCAGUGAUCUCUGGUCGGGGCUGCAGACCUCUUUUAGUUAGGAGGAAAUAGAAGAGUGAAUAAAAGCAAAGGACCGGGAUGGUGUCACAUUUCCUGAGUUUGCAUCUCAGCUCCUCCACCUGCUAGCUGUGUGACUUGAGGCAAGUUACUUCACCCCUCUGAGCCUCAGACACCUCACCCAUAAAGAGCAAAUGCAAGGAGAUGUAUAAGCAGGAUUAAAUGAAAUAGAGCCUGUCAAUCCCUUAGCACAGUGCCGGGCACCCCGUUGGCUUGCAGGAUGCCUGUGGCUCCUGUGGUUCAGAUGCGCCUCACCUGGGGCCCUUGAGGGUGGCAUUCCAGGCCUUCAGGAUCUUGGGGCAGGAGGGUGGGGGUUGGCUGGAAAGUUGUAGUUUCACCAGCACCCAGCCUAUUCUUAUUACUGGGGUGGCGGGCAUGGCUACCAAACAGACAAGAAGAUAAAGAUGACUUGAUCUAAAGUAAGAGAACUUAGAGGAAAGCUAUUACCUUAGAAUAUUGGUUCGCAGCGUUCUAGCGGCAGCGGCACCUGGGAACUUGAUGGAGUGCAGAUUGUCAGACCUCACUCCAGAUUUACUGAAUCGGAAACUCUGGGGGCGGUGGUGGCUUUAACCCGCCCUCCAGUGAUGCUGAUGCCUGCUGAGGUUGGUGCACCAAGCCUCAGAAUUAAAGAGCCAGUGCCUUAUUUCAUUUCAAAUAAGUAGAGAUGUACAGGUAGCCUCUGGGGAAGAAAUCUAAAGAUCCGUUCACUGUGCCAAGAGGAGAAAAGAAAGGAAUCCCUGGAUAUGGGGGCACAGUUAUAUUUCUAGUGAAUUCAGCAAUGCCAUCCUGGUCCUCUGCUUGUCUCGUGGUGAAACACAGUGGCCCGCGUGUGGACCACAGAAGCCGAUGGCCAGGACACUGAACUGUGGCCUCCACCUUGCCUCUUCCCCGCAGCUCCAGUGCUCCCGCCCUGAUUGUUCCAGCAUCCUUCUUAUACACUCUCUCUCCUUGUCGUUGUUUGGGUCUGUUGUCAGCCGUUUGCUUGAGUACAAACCUGCCUUCUCCUCCUGGUUUCUCCUGGGCAAGCCCAAAUGGGAGCCCAAUUGGUGACUGCAGAACAUCUCAAAAUAGGUUUUUCUAAGUGUCUCCCACCCAAAUCAGCAAAAUACCCCCAUCUAGUGGCAGCUGACCCAUCUAGUCGGUGGAGUCAGGGGCUCUUUCCGCUACAGAACAAAUAUCACAAUGCUCCCGUAGAAGAUUAAGACUCUGCUUCUAUAGAAUCAGCAAGAAAGGGGGAAAAAAGGAAUGGAAUAUUAUUUACUUCAACUCCUUCUGUGUUGUUUCUGCUUCUUCCUGCAUCUCUGGAGCCAGCACAUCACCCUUUGGUGUAUUUGUGGUAUCAGGAAUCUCCCAGGCGUCCUGCUCUCCUUUUCUCCUUCCUCUUUUCUGAACAUUCUUACCCCCCAAAUUUCUGGGCAGAUUUUUCUUUACUCAGCUGUUCACUUCAACUUUUUAGGGAUGAAUCUUUCUUUCUUUCUUUUGCACCUUCUCCCUCUCUCGGAAAGUCUCUCUGUCCCUUUUCCCCCUCACCCCGUUUGAGAUAUUCCCAGACUCCUCUGGGAUGCAGAGGAACAUCUUAUCUUGAGCAGGUAAGGUAAGAUCAGGAAUGGCCCUGGACAGGCCUGCGAGGGAGUCAGCUCUGAGGUAGCGUGGUCAGUCUCAGCCCUCUGUGGAGUGGCCGGGAGAAUCCCCAAACCACUUACUGUUAGUGUUGGAACUCAAAGUCUUGGGUGUCCUCAAACUCCAGCUCAUCCCAAAUGGCCCUAGCAGUUGGUGAUAUGUGAACAUUUUCCUUUGCCAAACUCUUUCCUUAAAGCUGUAAAAAUAGCAAUGACAGCUACUGUUUAUUGAGGGUCCAUUAUGUUCUAGCUAGAUCGUUGGUUCUCAAACUUUAGCAGACAUCAGAAUCCCUGGAGGGCUCAUUCAAACACAGACUGCUGGGCUCCCCCCAGGGUUUCUGACUCAGCCAGUCUGGGGUGGAGCCCCCCAGAAAUUUCAGUUCUAACAAGUUCCCAGGUGAUGCUGUUGCUCCUGGUCCAGGAACCCUGUUCUGAAAGCCACUGCCGUAGAUCAUCCGACAGGUGCUCACGGGAUGAACUUCACCCUCACCACACCCUGUAAAUUAGGAAUUAUUACCCUAUCUUACUGACAAGGAGACACAGGCCAUGAGAGAGAACAGCUUCCUUCAGGUCAUGGAUUGCAGGAAGCAGAGCUAGGAUUUGAGUCCAAAGUCCUCAUAGCCACCAUCCAGCCACAGUGUCUCCCAGGUCUCAGGGGGGCUGAGGAGGGGCUUGGGGUUCUCUUCCAGGCUUAUCUAACAAUGUGAGACCUGGAAGAGCCCUUGGCCCCCAUAGCCCAGCCCCCGCACUAUUCAGGGGGAGGCCAGUGAUCCCUAAGGUUUCGCCUCUGGCUGAGAUCUUGACUCACAGCCAAGUGCCCCGUCCUCUGUCCGCGUAAUUUAAUGCUCCUCAUUCAAGUGUUCAUUGAGCUUCUCCUUU